ACUAUCCUUUUCUUGGGGUAGCGCUACUGUCCAAUGAACAAAUAAAGAGGGCAGUACUGUCAACGCCUGUUUCAUUUGUGAACCU
rnacentral:snRNA from 1 species